CGUUAAAACACCGGUUUCCUUAAGAUCACCGAAGUUGAGCAACGUCGACUCUGGUCAGUACCUAGAUGGGUGACAGCUUGGGAAUACCAGGUGCU